GAGAGGCUUGGCUUUUAUUGCAUUCAGUAUGCAAGUGUCAACAAAGAUGGCUACUAGCGUCAUUGAAGGAUAUACUUUAGAAACUCAAUGUUAUUUUAAAUCUAGAAUGGUAGACUAGUGAAAAGGGUGGUCACAAGGCAUGAACACUAGGGGCCCUCAAGGUAACUAACCAAUACUGUUGUAGAUCCAGGCCCCUAAGAUUGCCUUGCCUACCUAUAAAUUGGGAGCAGCUAAAGUCAACUAGUUUCCAUCAUCACAUUUUGCUAAUAGUUUGGUUUGAUCAUCACAUUUUGCUAACUUGCUUAACUGAAAUAAUUUUAAGCUAGCUCCACGUUUUCAGGAAGCAUCUAUCACUGCAACCUACUAAUAUCAUCAACUCCAUCUUUUGGCUUCAAUUACUAUAAUGGCAGUGCAUCCAAUGACAACCAAUGACUGUAGCAAAUUUUGGAUCAUGUACCUCUGGUAUCAGGAGAAACCUUCAGAUAUUUCUUCAGGACAGAUAUUGCAUGUAGCCAGGUCGGUUUGUUUCAUUUUAUAUAUUAUAUCAUGUUAGGAGCCCAGAAACUGUCACUUUUUAACCACCCUAGAGCCAUUAUGGCUUUUAUACAAGUAAUGCCAACCUUGUAGCCAGGUUGCCAUUAUGAUAACUCGUUAUGUUAUGUAUAGUGUUGUUUAUGGUCAUUCACCGCAAUAGACGAUCAUGAUACGAUCCUGCUCCAACCUGUAUAUAGUAAAUUGUAUCUGCGUGAAAAUUUGGCCUCGUGUUUUCCCUUUUUAAUCUUAUAAUAGACUAUACUUAGCUAGCCAGAAAAACUUCUUUUUUCCACAUCCAAAAUAAUAUUUGCAGGCUUGUUUUCGUAAGUUAUUGGUGAAUAUAAUUGCUUUGGGGGCAAUAUUCAGGCUAUAAAUUUGGAGAAACUAUGUUCUGUAAAAGACAUGCAAAACGGUAUCUAUUACUAAAAAAAAAAAAAUUUUGAUAUUUAAUCUAUUUGAAACAUUUAAUCACAUGGAAAAGGAGAAAUAUAGAGAAAUAAGCAACAACAACAACACAAACUGCAUUGUAAAUAGGCUUUAUUUGUAUUAUUAGAUCAUAGUACACCAUAAACAACAACAGAUAAAUAAAAUAAAAAUAGCAAAAUUAUAUCAUGAUUUUGCACAAGUAAAGGCCGCUAUAUAAAAUUUGGUUUUUACGCAGCAAUAGCUAAUUAAAAACAACACAACCUACCACAACAAGUGAAUGACCACUGAUUUAGCACAACAUUCAGUCAAAAAUAUGUAGCCCUUAUUGGCUAAGACUCUAAAACGUUGAAUCAAACUUGAAAAUACCUAGCUGUUAUGCGAUAAACACUAACUACUUAAAAUUUUUAACAAAACAAAUCAUUUAAAAACAGAUAUCGUUAACUACAUUUACACAUUUUGUGUCAAUCAGGAUAGCGCUGUAUAUGUAUAUAUGCUAAGUCAUUUCGUUAUGUUGGUAGAACCACAAACAUUUUCCAUGCCUGUCAGCAUAACUUCUUUAGUGAAAUGUGAAAAACUUUCGUCAUUUCACCCAUUAAUUAAAACCAUGCUUUUUUCCUAAUUUUUAUAAUUAACAUCGUUCCCAGGAAUUAUCUCGAUAUAAGAUUAGAGCUUUUAAACCAAUCAUCAUCAAGUCUUGUCGGAGUCAUUCUCACAAAACUAGUCACGACUAGUGUUCUCGUCUGUGGCCUUGUGGCAUUUUAAGAAAUCGUUUAAAAAGUGUUUAUUGCCAGGAGCUUUGAAUCUACAAAGCAAACAUACAAGUUGUUAUAUGCAGCUAUUCGAUUUAUUGUAUUGUUAUCAAAUGUCUUGUUAUUUGUGGGUACCCCAAGACAACACAAGAACUUUGAGUUUGAGACAGGCCUUUUUAGAGUUGUUGAAAGUGAAAAUAUAAACAGUUUCAUGCUCAAACUUGCUAGCACAGCAAUAGAAAGCUCAAAAAUCAAUGGAAUUAAAAGUAAACAGAUGUACCUGAAAACUUUUUCAUUAUAAAGUUAAUGCUAUAAUUUUGUUAACUCAAAAAAGUCUGUUUAUUUUGCCAAACUGCUUUCUUCUGCAAUCCCAGGCAACACAGAGCAUAAAUGUUUUCCAGUCAUGUUUCUUCUUAGCAACAUUGCUCAAUUUCAUUCCGCAAUCAUAUAUUCAAGCCUUCCAUUUACUUGCUGGAAGUCAAUACAAAACUUUCUUAGCCUUUAGACAUGUUGAAUCCUACCCUAUCCAACUGACCGGCUACCAUGAGGCAAUAACAAUAGGUAGAGUAAAUUAAUUUCAAUCUUUCUUUACUGUAAAUUUCGACGACUUCGGCGGGAUUCUUCUUGACGUCACAUAUUCUUUGUUUUACAAGAGUCCAAAAGUCCACACUUCGGCGCGAUUCUUCUUGUCGUCAAAAUUAUUUGUUUGUUUAAGAGGGUCAAAAGGCCACACUUCGGCUGCCGCCGAAGUCGACUAUUUUACAGCAGAAAACAAGGAAUCGCGCAACAAUCGGCAAAAAGCGGCAAAAUGUAGUUAAACUACCGUGAAACCAGAGAGUUGAGCCUCGUGAAACACUCCUGAGUAGUUUAGAUAAAUUUUAACUCGACUCCUGGGCGCAAGGAACCUUUUUAAAUGCCAAAAAAAAAAAAAAAAAAAAAAAAAAAAAAAAAUGCGUUGCUUUCAACCGAUUUCUAGUUUAGAUCCACAUGAUCUUCUCAUUGGCAAUUUCUACUUGGGCGAUCCUACCUCACUUUAAGUUGGAUUUUUUUAAUUUUUUUUUUGCAAUAUGUGUCCAGUCUUUAGGAUCAAUUUUAUAAACAUUUCACAUAGCUGUAUUUUGAAUGCUACUCAAAAUUGUUCGAUCAGGCUAUAUCUUUUGUGCAAUUUGGAAAUCUGGAAAUGCUUUUAUUGUCAGUGCCCUUAAUUUAGAAUGGUUGGGCAUAUAAAUACGGUUAUGCUUCCGAUUGUAUUCCCUUUAUAUUAGGCAUUUAAAUAAGUGUCAUUGUAGAGUGAUUAAGUACAGUACAGUCUGAAUGUAAUCUACCGCGUACACGCUAAUAUCACACCUUUGCGUGGAGGACGGCAGUCGUUUGUCUUUUGUUAUAAUUAAAUCCCUUAAGAGUUUUGCGAGUUUAUAUUUGCGUGUUAAAAAACAAUGCGCUCGUGAAGAAAUAUUGGAGCAAAUAAUAAAAAUCUUUCGCGAAGUUUUAUAAGACAUUGCGCGCGAAUGUAUUGUUGAUUUAAUUACUUAAAAAAAAAAAAUUCCAGCGCGUUUCAUCUAAGAAACAUUCGAGAAGCAUUGUUCACAACUAUUAAAUGCCGCUUUUCGAUUAAAAAAUUCUAUCGCCUCUUUUCGAUUUUAAACUUUAAAUACGAUCUAAAAAAGCAUUUCUAUCGCCGCUAUUCGUUAAAACUUUUAAAAUUUCCAGGGAGAAAUUUGAAAACUAAUGAAUGACAAAAUCCCAAAAGUUUAUCUUCAAAUUUUUAAUUUUGUUAAUGUAAAAGUAAUCCACAUAAAAAAAGUUUCUGAUGUUUUUUAUGAAGAAAUCUUCCAUAUUAGCCAUUAUACAUUUGCCCUAGAGUGAUUAAUAAAUAAGGUCAGGCUUCUAUUUUCAGAACUGCUAUUUACAUUUAACAUCAAGGCAUCCAAAACAGCUCCAUUUAGAAAAGGGCUAAGGCUGGCCUAUUGUUCGUUUUAUCAAAUGGGGAUUUUAUUACCCGAAUUGUAAAAGGCUAAUUUAUAGGCACUUGCAUGUAGUUUUUUUUUUUCAUGUCUAUUUGUUAAGCCUGUUAUGGCAUGUUGAAUUAUCUCGUCGUAGUUCUCGUCAAAAAUAUUGCCUGAUAGAUAAUGCAUUUUCAUUUGGGGAAUUGGGGGUGCUGGGCUGCCCUGGGCAGCCACAAAGUGUAGAGAUGUGCGUGUACCCCUGGAAGAGUAUGGUGAAUUAAGUACAGGUGCAAGGAGAUGAACGACAGUGCACCACGCGAGCAGGACAGAUGACUGGGGAAAUAACAGCAGAGGGAUGCGGCGCUGACAGUCAGAGGUGGUGCACCAAGAGGUUAAUAACAGGUGUGAAAUGCAAAAGAAGCUAGAGCUCAUAAAGAGUAGGUUCUUGUGAGGUAUGAUAGAGGAAAUGGAAUCACAGGAGAGGAGCUCCGGAUGUGAUUGAGAGAUUAGUUAAGCCAGAAAACACUACUAGGAGAAGAGCUCCGGAUGUAGUGGAGAAGAGCGAACACUACUAGGAGAAUAGCUCCGGAUGUAGUGGAGAAGAGCGAAUUCAUUGGGAACACGCACGUGAGCUUGAGACAAUAUCUUCUCUUCAGCCUAGCAUCCUCACCCGAUUCCGCCAAAUUAUCCUCAGUUUAUUCUUGCCACUAACAAUUAAUAGUGCUAUUACUGCUAUAACUCUAAAUUAAAGUACAAUCCUUAUUCAUUGAUUUUGUAUUAUUGACAGCAAUUGUAGUUAUUAUUUGUCAAUUUAAAGUUGCGUAUUAUCAGAUUUUGAAAGUUAGCUAUAACAUGAUGGAUUGCAAAAUUGUCUCCUUUAAAAAAUCCAGUUUGGGGUAAAUUGGGGAUGUCGGGCUUCCUUCGUCAGCCAAAUGGGAUGAAGAUGCGUUUGUUUCCCUAACAAAUGAGGUGCGUUUCCACGAGAUACGCCAUAGCAGGUAGUAGGCAAUUUCCAAGCGAGUUGCUGAGGUGUAGGCGAUUUCCAAGUGAGUCGCGGAGAUGUAGGCAAUUUCCAAGCGAGUUGCUGAGGUGUAGGCGAUUUCCAAGUGAGUCGCGGAGAGGUAGGCAAUUUCCAAGCGAGUUGCUGAGGUGUAGGCGAUUUCCAAGUGAGUCGCUCAGAUGUAGGCAAUUUCCAAGCGAGUUGCUGAGGUGUAGGCGAUUUCCAAGUGAGUCGCGGAGAGGUAGGCAAUUUCCAAGCGAGUUGCUGAGGUGUAGGCGAUUUCCAAGUGAGUCGCUCAGAUAUAGGCAAUUUCCAAGCGAGUUGCUGAGUUAGCGUUUCCACGAGAUACGCAGACGUUUCCACGAGAUACGUCUUACUAAGGGUAAGGAUGGAAACACACGCAUCUGGUUUGGGCCCCCCUGAUACCAAACCUGACAUCCCCCCCCCCUUUCCCCAAACUCAAGUGUAGUUAUGACAUGAAACAAGAGAAAUAUACUUCUAACAUUAUCUGUCAUUGUUGUUGUUUGCUUUCGUGUUGUUGCUUCAGAACCAUAGCAAUUAAAUGGUGGUGGACCAACAGUUCACCACAUGUUAAUUGCGGUUCCUGAAGUAAGUACUUAUACCUUGUUGAGAGGCUUGGCUUUUAUUGCAUUCAGUAUGCAAGUGUCAACAAAGAUGGCUACUAGCGUCAUUGAAGGAUAUACUUUAGAAACUCAAUGUUAUUUUAAAUCUAGAAUGGUAGACUAGUGAAAAGGGUGGUCACAAGGCAUGAACACUAGGGGCCCUCAAGGUAACUAACCAAUACUGUUGUAGAUCCAGGCCCCUAAGAUUGCCUUGCCUACCUAUAAAUUGGGAGCAGCUAAAGUCAACUAGUUUCCAUCAUCACAUUUUGCUAAUAGUUUGGUUUGCCCACCCACCCACCCUGUUAUUAUAUAUUUUUUCUUUUUCUUUUAUGUACAUCAAUCACUUCAUGUAUUGGCAUCAAUGUCCACAACUGUCACCAUAUUAACUAAUUCUACAAUCAACCACAACCCUUAUGUUAACUCGAUAACCGGACCAUCAUCCGACACAUGACGAGUGCAUACGAUACCAAUUGAUGUAGCCCCAGAGGGUCUUCUACAACGAACUAUAACACGCAACGAUACUACGAACUACAACACGCAACGAUCUACAACGCAAGAUGGAGGGAUCAAUUGGCAUCAAAGACGCGCGCUCGCUUACACCAGUGCUCUUGCCUCAAGGUUUUCUUGGUGAUCCAAAUUUGGCUACUUGCGAUUGCCAAGUUUUUUGUCCAGAGGUAGAAGCACUGUUGACCCGCGCUGGUGGGGAUGUCGGGCUUCCUUCGUCAGCCAAAUGGGAUGAAGAUGCGUUUGUUUCCCUAACAAAUGAGGUGCGUUUCCACGAGAUACGCCAUAGCAGGUAGUAGGCAAUUUCCAAGCGAGUUGCUGAGGUGUAGGCGAUUUCCAAGUGAGUCGCGGAGAUGUAGGCAAUUUCCAAGCGAGUUGCUGAGGUGUAGGCGAUUUCCAAGUGAGUCGCGGAGAGGUAGGCAAUUUCCAAGCGAGUUGCUGAGGUGUAGGCGAUUUCCAAGUGAGUCGCUCAGAUGUAGGCAAUUUCCAAGCGAGUUGCUGAGGUGUAGGCGAUUUCCAAGUGAGUCGCUCAGAUAUAGGCAAUUUCCAAGCGAGUUGCUGAGUUAGCGUUUCCACGAGAUACGCAGACGUUUCCACGAGAUACGUCUUACUAAGGGUAAGGAUGGAAACACACGCAUCUGGUUUGGGCCCCCCUGAUACCAAACCUGACAUCCCCCCCCCUUUCCCCAAACUCAAGUGUAGUUAUGACAUGAAACAAGAGAAAUAUACUUCUAACAUUA